GCUGCUGCAGCAGCAGCAGCAGCAGCUGCUGCAGCUGCUGCUGCUGCUGCUGCUGGCAUAGAGGAUAAGAAUGUGUCUUGUAUUCAGGGAGC
rnacentral:snoRNA from 1 species